AGAGUUUGAUCCUGGCUCAGAACGAACGCUGGCGGCGUGGAUAAGACAUGCAAGUCGAACGGGAUCAACCUGGUAGCAAUAUCGGGGUGAUUCAGUGGCGGACGGGUGCGUAACACGUGGGCAACAUGCCCGGAAGUGGGGGAUAGCCCGGGGAAACCCGGAUUAAUACCGCAUGCGGCGCUGAAGAGGCCUCUCUUCUGCGCCAAAGGUGGGGAUCGCAAGACCUAUCGCUUCCGGUUUGGCCCGCGGCCUAUCAGCUAGUUGGUGAGGUAACGGCUCACCAAGGCAACGACGGAUAGCUGGUCUGAGAGGACGACCAGCCACACUGGAACUGAGACACGGUCCAGACACCUACGGGUGGCAGCAGUCGAGAAUCUUUCACAAUGGGGGAAACCCUGAUGGAGCGACGCCGCGUGGAGGAUGAAGGUCUUCGGAUUGUAAACUCCUGUCAUGAGAGAACAAGCAGAGCGGGCUAAUACCCCGCCGAGUUGCUAGUAUCUCAAGAGGAAGGGACGGCUAACUUCGUGCCAGCAGCCGCGGUAAGACGAAGGUCCCAAGCGUKGUUCGGAAUUACUGGGCGUAAAGGGUGCGUAGGCGGCGCGGAAAGUCAGAUGUGAAAGCCCCGGGCUCAACCCGGGAAUGGCAUCCGAUACUCCCGCGCUCGAGGACUGGAGAGGAGUCUGGAAUUCACGGUGUAGCAGUGAAAUGCGUAGAUAUCGUGAGGAACACUAGUGGCGAAGGCGAGACUCUGGACAGUUCCUGACGCUGAGGCACGAAGGCCAGGGGAGCGAAGGGGAUUAGAUACCCCCGUAGUCCUGGCAGUAAACGGUGCUCGUUUGGUGUGGGAGGAUUCGACCCCUUCUGUGCCGGAGCUAACGCGUUAAACGAGCCGCCUGGGAAGUACGGUCGCAAGAUUAAAACUCAAAGAAAUUGACGGGGACCCGCACAAGCGGUGGAGUAUGUGGCUUAAUUCGAUGCAACGCGAAGAACCUUACCUGGGCUUGACAUGCAUCGCUAAGCGUGUGAAAGCACGUGAGUGCCGCAAGGCACACUUUGCACAGGUGCUGCAUGGCUGUCGUCAGCUCGUGUCGUGAGAUGUUGGGUUAAGUCCCGCAACGAGCGCAACCCUCGCCCUUAGUUGCCAGCGGGUAAUGCCGGGAACUCUAAGGGGACUGCCGGUGAUAAACCGGAGGAAGGCGGGGAUGACGUCAAGUCAUCAUGGCCCUUACGAGUAGGGCUACACACGUGCUACAAUGGGGAGUACAAAGAGUCGCUAAGCUGUGAAGUGGAGCUAAUCUCAUAAAACUCCCCGUAGUUCAGAUUGGAGUCUGCAACUCGACUCCAUGAAGUCGGAAUCGCUAGUAAUCGCGAAUCAGAAUGUCGCGGUGAAUACGUUCUCGGGCCUUGUACACACCGCCCGUCACACCAUGGGAGUGAAUUGUACCAGAAGCGGGUAGGCUAACCUUCGGGAGGCCGCUCACCACGGUAUGAUCCAUGACUGGGGUGAAGUCGUAACAAGGUAACC
rnacentral:rRNA from 1 species